UAUAUCUGGGAUGCCUGAUGGUGCCAUCUAUAGAAAUGGUUUCACCUCUGAGUUCUGUUUGCCUUUCUACAGCUGCAAUUUUUAUACUCAGAUACUCUACAAUACAGAAACACACUGUAGCCCUCUCAGUUACUUAUUUGAUGCUGUUCUGGAAGAAUGAAAAUCUGCAAAGGAACCAUGAUUUAAAUCACCUUUUAAGGUUCCUCAACUUGGGGCAGCUCUGGGCCACAUGAGCUUAAACAGCCUAGAAAGUAAAACUUACAGCAGUAAGAGGGGCUGUCCAAUGGGGGAGAAUCCUUGGAAGAGCAGACACCCCUUAUAUUCCCCAGUGUGCUCUCCUCUUCUUUCUCUGUAUUCCUUGUCAGGUGAUCAAGCCUCCCACUUGAUAAGGUAGGUCAGGUGGUAUUUCUCUAGCCAUAGAAAUUCUUAUCCUACCCAGGUAUAUUAUUGUGUUUGGUUUGGACAGCAGCUCUGACUUUAAACACAAAAAAACUCUUCUCAAGGUCUUGAAUUUUAUCCAGCCACUAUAAUCCAAGCCUAACUCCUCACAUAACUCUUUAAUCAUGAUAAUUAAUGUACUAAGCCAGUGCUGUGUCUCACAUGUGGAUGCUGCCAUGCACAUGACAAUUUUCAGGAACUGCUGAAAGCUUCAUGUCUGUAUUUUCAUGUUAAAAAUCCAAGCACACGGGUUUCUUGUCCUUAAAUCAGCCCAAAUAGUAACAACAACAACAGCAACAAUGAUACUACUCCAAUCAAUCUGUACAAAUUGUUUAACAAAUGUUAGGCUGUGGAAUUAUCACUAAAUGUGUUCUGUAAUUUAACUCUUUUUGCUUUGUAAUUUUAUCCAGAUGUUUUCUGUAGAUUGCAGCAUGUGAGCUCAGAGCUAAGUCAACAGGAUGUACAGCUCCCUCUGUCUUCUUCUCUGCAACAGAGCUCCAUCCAAUCAAGACAAGGAAUAUGAAAUGAGCUCUGCAACAAAACCAAAAUCCAGUUGAUGAUUUACAGUGAAAACUGGGUAUAUGGAAUUUUGCCUAUUGACAAUCUCGUUGUGUGGAUGGUCUGAGAAUAAUGCUGCGGAAAUCCAAACAGCUGUCUCCAUGUCUUCCUGCAACAGCGCUGCACAAUAGAUGCACUUCAUGAGGCUCCAUUGGAUGCACUUCAGCUUCUAAAGAGAUACAAAUGGAACGGGGAGGAAGAGGCCAUCCAUGGGCAUUAUUACAACUAUCCAUUUAAAGUUCCAAGCCAGAGGAAAAAAGUAGACAUCUCUGUAAAUCAAGCAAUGACAUUAAAGAAAAUCAACAAACCAAAGAAAUUCCAUCUGAGAAAAGAUGCUAUUCUGUGUACAAUUAUGCCAUGAAGAGAUAUUUUAAUGUGCAGGGAGGUGUUGAAUGCUGUGCUUCAGGCAACAAUAUGAUAUAGAAACUGUUUCUAUUUAUAUGGAGCUAUUUUAGUGCCUCCAGGACUAGAAUAGUUAUCCUGGGUUACUGAGGGCUACUGACCCGGAAACUUAUGAAAGACAUUUCUGUUUGGAGAGUCAUUUGGAGAGGUUCCUCAAAUUAGUUGAUGGCUCUCUGAAACAAGCAGUGGCUGUGUGUGUAAGUUGGGAGAAAUACCUUGCUUCAAACAAUGCUUACUUUCUCAUGGGAAAAAAAUGUGUGAACAGAAAUGCACUGCAGCCUUUGCAUCUGCUUCUGAGCAAAUGAAAGCAGGCAGUCAGGUGGCUCCCUCCUGCACAAAAGGAACAAGUAAGGUAAUUACUGUUUAAUAUUUCAAACAGGAUGUUUGAAGGGGGGGCAUUUAAUUAUCCUGCCAACAUCUAUUCAAAUAAACAUGAGGGAUUUAGAACAUUUUUGGAUCUACAGACUUAAAAGGAAUGCCAAACAUUCAAGGGCACUAAACCUCUUAGAUCCCCUGUGUAACGUGACUUAGAAACAUGCUUCUAUUGACAUUUUACCUUGUAUAGGAAGAGAGGCCUGCUGUACUGAGCACUGCACUGCAGUCAUGUAUCCUGCAAAACGUAACUGCCUUCCCCUUUCCUCCUCAGACUGGUACCUGUAGAAAUACAUGUGAUACUCUUUCAGUAGCUGACUUUCAAUAGGCAUAAUAUCCUAUUGUAUAUGAUGCUUUUGGGAAAUUACCAACUGCAGACUUAAUGGUCAUUGAGAAAUGCUGGCAUCUGCCUUAUGUACUGAUAAUGAUUUAUUUACACUUAAUUUUUCAAAGGCAAAAUUAUGUGUAUCUGACCAUGUCUACAUGAGAUGCUUGCUGUGCAGUAGCUCGUUACUACUGUGCAGUAGCGUCGCGGGGCACAAAUUGUGAUGCAACGCUACUAUGCAGUCAGCAUCAUCAGGAAGCCGUGCAGGGAUGCUACUGUGUAGUAAUGCCAGUUACUGUGCAGUCAUUUAGUACUUGGGUAUGCAAGUACUAAAUGUUGGCACAGUAACAACUAUGCAGUCAGUGUACCAUAUAAACGCGGCCUCUGUCACUGAAACCCACGUGCCCCUUCCCUUUUUGUUUGUUUGUUUCUUACACACACUUGCUAUGUCUUUAGGUGAGAUUACAGCUUCUUUUGGAAAGGGACCCUAUCUUCCACCAUGAUUAUACAGUACUAUGAUUCCCUAAUCCUGAUUGGUGUUUCCGGUUGCUGCGAUUAUAUUAUUAUUAUUGUGGGCUGGGUGAAACAUCACUGAAGCUGGUAAAUACACCCACCUUUCAUUUAGGAUAGCUACAAGAAACAUGCUCUUUUAUGAACAGUAGUAGUUUCCACCUAAAACACCGACACAUACCACCUUCCUAGACAAAGCUGCCUAGUAGAGAGUUUUUCAGAGCAAUAUUCUGAGCAGAUGUAUGUGUGUGAGAACCAGGAGAAAGCAGUACAGAAGCAGAGAAACAGCAAAAAGCCAAAUAAGCAUUGAGAGUGUGACUCUGAGAAAAGACUUAAGAGUGAUCCUUUGGGCAGAGCAUUAACUGAAAGAGGUUUGAGCUCUGAGGAAAGACAGUAUGUUCUGCUGUUGGAUUCCUUCUGUGUUCAAAAAAAUUGAACUUCUUCAAAAAAUAUUCAACUAAAUCAUUAAUGACUCUUUCUAAUGGAAACAACCUUCAGGGCCCUGAACCACUUAGGACAAAAAGGUACUAGCAGCAAUAGUAGUCAUAGUACUGGAAGGAAAUUAGACUACUCUAAUUAGAAACAUCUUGGAAACACUUAAGCCAAAGUGACAGGAACUCCUCAGCUUAAUUUAAUUUACUCCAAUGCCAAGAAUGUAUGUGUGUUUGUAGAUUUAGGGUCCACUUUAUUAGUAAUGCAGCAUAACAUACUUGGAAAAUCUUCCAUGAAAACCAAAUAAUAACAAGCUACAAACUUCUCGGAUAAAUGGAUUUAAGUGGGAUGCUCACUUGCAAUAGGAUCUAAGACCACAGAAUCAUAGAAAAUUAGGGUUGGAAGGGACCUCAGGAGAUCAUCUAGUCCAACCCCCUGCUCAAAGCAGGACCAGCCCCAACUAAAUCAUCCCAGCCAGGGCUUUGUCAAGCUGGGCCUUAAAAACUUCCAAGAAUGGAGAUUCACCAUCCUCCUAGCGAGAAAGAUUUUCUAAUAUCCAACCUAAACCUCUCUUGCUUCAGCUUGAGACCAUUGCUCCUCGUUCUGUCAUCUGCCACCACCAAGAACAGUCUCGCUCCAUCCUCUUUGGAACCACCCUUCAGGCAGUUGAAGACUGCUAUUAAAUCCUCUCUCAGUCCUCUCUCUCCAGACUGAAUAAAUUCAGUUCCCUUAGCCUCUCCUCAGAAGUCAUGUGCCCUAAUCUCCUAACCAUUUUUGUUGCUCUCCACUGGACUUUCCAAUUUCUCCAUAUCCUUUUUGUAGUGGGGGCCCCAAAACUGAACACAGUACUCCAGAUGUGUCCUCACCCGUGCUGAAUAAAGGGGAAUAAUCACUUCCCUUGACCUGCUGGAAACACUCUUACCAUUGCAGCCCAGUAUGCCAUUAGCCUUCUUGGCAACAGGGGCACACUCUUAGCAUAUUCAGCUUAUUGUCCACUGUAACUGCCAGGUCUUUUUCUGCAGAGCUCAUGUCCAGCCAGUCAGCCCCCAGCCAGUACCAGUUCGUGGGAUUGUUUCAUCCUAAGUGCAGAAUUUUGCACUUGUCCUUGUUGAACCUCAUGAGAUUUCUUUUGGCCCAACCCUCCAAUUUGUCUAGAUCACUCUGAAUCCUAGCUCUAACCCCCAGCAUAACUACUACUUCCCCCAGAUUGGUGUCAUCCUCAAACUUGCUGAGGGUACACUCCAUCCCAUUUUCUAGAUCGUUAAAGAAGAUUGAACAAAACUGGCCCCAGGACUGAGCACUAGGGUACUCCACUUGAUACUGGCUGCCAGCUAGACAUUGAGUCAUUGAUUCCUACCCAUUAAGUCCAACAAUGUAGCCAGUUCCUAUCCACCUUACAGUUCAUUUAUCCAACCCAUACUUCAUCAGCUUGCUUGCAAGUAUACUAUCGGUGACAGUAUCAAAAGCCUUGCUAAAGUCAAGGUAUAUUUUGUCCACUUCUUUCCCCACAUCCACAGAGCCAGUUAUCCAAUCAUAGAAGGGAAUCAGGUUGGUCAGGAAUGACUUGCAUGUGGUGACUCCAUGCUGACGAUUCUUAAUCACCUUCUUCUCUUCCAAGCAAUUAGAAAUGGAUUCUUUGAAGAUCUGCUCUUUUCUGGGGACUGAGGUGAGACUAACUGGUCUGUAGUUCCCUGGAUCCUUCUUCUUCCCUUUCUUAAAGAUGGGCACUAUAUUUUCCCUUUUCAAAUCACCUGGGACCUCCCCAAUUCACCAUGAGUUUUCAAAGAUAAUGGCCAGCAGCUCUUCAAUCACAUCAGUCAGCUCCCUCAGCACCUUCAGAUGUAUUGCAUCUGGCCCCAUGGACUUUAACACUGAAAAAUGCAAGGUUCUCCACCUUGGGAGGAAAAACCUGCAGCAUCCUUAUAGGCUCGGCAGUGCUACACUGGCUAGUACUAUGGAAGAAAAAGGCUUGGGGGUCAUCAUUGACUACAAGAUGAACAUGAGCCUGCAAUGCAAUGCUGCAGCUAGUAAAGCUACCAAAAUGCUGGCUUGCAUCCAUAGAUGCUUCUCAAGCAAAUCCCGGAACGUCAUUCUCCCCUUGUACUCAGCCUUGGUGAGGCUGCAGUUGUUGUACUGCAUCCAGCUUUGGGCUCCACAAUUCAAAAAGGAUGUGGAGAAGCUUGAAAGAGUCCAGAGAAGAGCCAUGCACAUGAUCAGAGGUCAGGAAAACAGACCUUACGACGACAGGCUGAGAGCCAUGGGGCUCUUUAGCCUGGAAAAGCGCAGGCUCAGGGGUGAUCUGAUGGCCACCUAUAAGUUUAUCAGGGGUGACCACCAGUAUCUGGGGGAACAUGUGUUCACCAGAGCGCCCAAGGGAUGAUGAGGUUGAACGGUUAUAAACUAUUGCAAGACCAUUUCAGGCUGGAUAUAAGGAAGAAUUUCUUUACUGUCUGAGCCCCCAAGGUCUGGAAUAGCCUGCCAUCGGAGGUGGUUCAAGCACCUACAUUGAACACCUUCAAGAGUAAAUUGGAUGCUUAUCUUGCUGGGAUCCUAUGACCCCAGCUGACUUCCUGCCCUUCGGGCAGGGGGCUGGACUCAAUGAUCUUCCAAGGUCCCUUCCAGCCCUGAUGUCUAUGAAAUCUGUGAAAUCUAUGACUUGUACAUGUCCAGCUUUUCUAAAUAGUCCCUAACCUCUUCUUUCACCACUGAGGGCUGCUCAGCUACUCCCCAAACUGUGUUGCCCAGUACAGUAGUCUGGGAGCUGACCUUGCCUGUAAAGACCAAGGUAAAAUGUCAUUGAAUACUUCAGCCUUUUCCUCAUCAUCUGUCACUAGGCUGCCUCCCCCAUUCAGUAAGAGAUCCACACUUUCCCUGACCUUCCUCUUGUUGCUAACAAACUUGUAGAAACCCUUCUUGUUACCCCUCAUGUCCCUUGCUAGCUGCAACUCCAAUUGCGUUUUGGCCUUCCUGACUUCAUCCCUGCGUGCCCAAGCAAUUUUCUUAUACUCCUCCCAAGUUGUUUGUCCAAGUUUCCACUUCUUAUAAGCUUCCUUUUUGUGUUAAUCUCACCGAAGAGUUCUCUGCUAAGCCAAGCUGGUUGUUUGCCACAUUUGCUAUUCUUCCUACACAUCAGGAUAGUUUCUUCCUGUGCCCUCAUUAAGGUUUCUUUAAAAUACAACCAGCUCUUCUAGACUCCUUUCCUUCUAAGAUUGGCCUCCCAAGGAAUCCUGUCCAUCAGUUCCCUGAGGGAAUCAAAGUCUCCAUGGUUUACCAGAUCUUAUUAAGUAAACAUGGUUGAGCCUGAUCAGUACUGAGAUGGACAUGGAAGAGAUCACUUAGUACGUGUUAAAUCUGAAGGUAGAAGCAUAAUAAUGUUUACCAAGAUCUCUAACGUGCACAGCUCACUGGUUGUUGGUCCAGGCCAUGGCACCUUACCCGAGUCUUGAACCAAUUCCAGCACAGUGCUAGGGCUGGGGCUAACAAUAAUUUGGUUGUCUGUCCCUAUCCUAGCAACAGAGACCCUUUGCUGAUUGGACCCUGGGCUGGCUGUGAUACCAUGUUGCCACUGGGGCACACUGGUUAGAAAGCCCAGAGGGGAUGGGGGACUGCAAGAAUAUGCAGAAUCAUGAGCACAUGUUCCUUACUAUGAUCUGGAGAUACUCCUGGGGAAAGUCACAACUUUUUGUAAAAUACAAUUGCCCUUAGCAUGUGUUUUAGUACUUGAAUGCAUGGGCACUUGCAUUUUAAGUUCAGUUAACAUGUCCUAAGUGCAACAUGUAACAUAGCCCUAAGACAAAACCUGUGGGGAAACUGCAUGAUUUCAUUGGAAGAGAGAAAACUAGAAGCAUCUGUAGAGAGAUUGUUUGAGGGUGAGAAAAUGGGACUUUAAAGGGUGAAGAAAAUCCUGGAAGGCUUGUAUGUGAGAUUGGUGGUCCUAGGAGUCUUAUAGGUAUGCAAGGGAAAGGGACAUGAUCCUAGAAAAGAGCAGAGAAUGUUGUAGCUCUUCUGCCUGUCCCUGAACACACCAGAGAAGUUAGUAGGGUCUUGGAUUCUCCCAUCUCAUCUUGCAGGGGUCUGUUUUACUAAGCAUGGUGCAAAUUAGUAUUGAGAUCAGUAUUGUUGAGGGGAAGGGAAUGGUAGUAUUGCAAAGUGUAGCACAAGUGGAGGCCUCUGGGCACUACAGACACAAAUUUGGUGUUUUAUAGUGAUUGAAACCAAUCCCUGUUACAAGCCAGUACAUCCAUUUCUGAUGUCAAUAAUAAUUUUCUAUAUACCCUUAUGAUAUAGGUUUGCAAUAGGGAGGUAGACUCAUAUGCAGUUAAAAUAAAAAAUCUCUCUCUCUCUCUCUUUCAGAGACAGUGUUUGUAUAUUAGGUGUUGAUUUGAGGAAAGCUCAAAUAUAAGGAAGCUCACUAUUAAACAAAUUAAAAAUUAUUUUUCAAAGGCAAGAAUUCACUAGCAUGUUAUCCUUGAAAAAUCCCAUUAUAAGCAGUUUAAUAGGAGCCACAGCCUUGAGAUCACAUGCAUUUUUUUUCCAUUUGAAAAGAGUAUUUCCAACACCUUUUUAACUCUUUUUUUAACUGAAAUACCUUUUGACAUUGCAAGUCUGUACUUUUUUUGUUCUUUGAAAUGUGGCAUGUGGUUUGAGUUUUAAAGCUUAUUUCCUCUUGGACUAAUGAGCCUCUGAAAGUUAUUAAAGAGAAGAAAGACAGGUUAAGCCAAUGACAUUUUAUCAGAGGAAACAUUAUCAAAUCUUAAUGCCAGAAAAGCCAUUUUUGUUGGUUCCCAAGAUUUCUCCUAAUAAAAUAUUUAUUUACUACUGUUGUAGUAAUCCAGAAGCCUGACUGUUAAGUAUGCAUCACUUAAGCUUAGAAUAUAUGGACACUGUUUAAAAACACGUCAUAUUCACAACUAUUCUUCAUGGUGAUCCAGUCUGGUUCUUCUAUUAUUUGUAUGUUGUAGUAUUUAUAUAUGAACUUUGUUCCUUGGAAAUUCUAUCCAAAUCAAAAUGGAGCUUUUGUUUUGAUGACCUUUUAAAAGGGGAUUAAGUGCAUUCACGAUACUUUAUCAUUAUAUCCUGAAUCCAAUGUGUUCAAAGUCUAUUCAUGCUUUAAGAAGUUGUAGAGUUUUGAUAGAUGGAUAUCAGUUGCUUGAAAAUCAUGCUCUGUCAUACAGCUCUUGUUGGUAUGAGGUAGCAUUGUGAGUUGUUCUGCAUGCUGGUUACUUAUUGCUAUUAAUGUUGCAGAGGUCUUAGUCAAACUCAGAGACAAGACACUGUAAACAGCUAAGAUAAAAUGGUCCCUGCUACAAAGAGCUAACACUCUGGGUUAGUAGUUUUCAAACUGGUCAGGAGAGAGAGACCUGGGGUUCUGCAAUAUGUCUUCAGGAGUUCUGCAACACUUGUGUGAGUAACAGCGGAGUGAGAUGGGAGGUAGUAUCAUGCCAUUACCUAGACAGAUCUCUUGGGAGCCCCACGCCCCCCAAGUCUGGGCACCAUGGGCUGCUCAGCAGCACAACACAGCAGUUGGCCUGUAAAGGGAGGGGGGGGAAGCAGAGUCUGGAACCAUGGCAGCAGGUGCUGCCAGAAGCCUGGCCUGUCUUGUCCUGGAAACAGGGCAGAGGAGGCAGGCUGCCUAUGGCCAGCACCCAGUGAGUCACUGGCCCCAGCAGAGUGAUCAGGGAUGAGGGAGAUUAACUAGUGACCAUCUGGGCCUGGGCCUGCCCACUCAAUUUACCAUGGUUUCUGGGCACCUGUGGACAACCAACCCCCAAUCUGAGGCGGGGCAGUGCAUGACCACUGGUACAGAACAUCUUAUCUCUGAAAUGUUGCAAACUCUCACAAAAGGCUUCUGUCUCUUGGCUCUGUAGGCCCAGCACAGAUGCCAGGUCAGGGAUGCUGCCACACACUGCUGGGGUCCUUUGGAUGUGCUGGCUGCACCAGAGGUGCAUGCAGGACCAGACCCUCCUCCUCCAGUGGCUGGUGGCAGCGGCUGAGAAGUGGGAGUAGACUGCCCGGGCCUAAAGGGAAGAGGACCUAGGCCAGAAGGAAAAGUGGCAGGAGGAGGACCUGGCCCACCAGUAUAGGUUGUGGGCAAAGGACUUAGCAUUCCAGGGUGAGCUCCUGGCCCUGGACAGGAAGUGGAUCCAGAUCCUACAGGACCAGAAUGUCAUGCAGGGCUGGGCAGUGAAGGUGAUGGAUGAUGACAGUCAGAUCAUGGACACUGUCCUGGGCCAGAAGGUCUCAUUCAUGUCACCCACUGCCCAGUCCCCAUCCCUAGCCCAAUAGGCCCCCUGGAAGCCACCUGCCACCCCACAGCAGGCCCUUGCCUAGGCGUGGGAGGAGGUCCUUUGCUUUUUCCCACCUGCAGAAGCCCCUGGCCUGGCCCCCAUCCCAGGUCCACUACCACCUGCCUGAGCCAAGGGCUGCUGUUCACCCCAGCCCCACAUGCACAUAGAGUCAGAGCUGCCUGGAGUGGCACAAGGACUGGACAUCAGCCCCGUUGGGCCUGUACUCUACCAGCUUGAGAGGGAGCUGCUCACCCCAAAGGAGUCCCAGGCACUGUCACCCCUGGACAAGCCCCCCAACCACCACAGUCACUACAGUGUGUGGACCCACAGGGGAACUGGCAGAGGCCAGGGUGCUGACCACCUGCCCCCAGGCUCUGCUCCUUAAGCACCCCCACCACAUAGCCCCCAACUCCAGGACACUAAAACAAAGACUUUGUAAAUAGUUUUCACACUGGGAAGAGGGUUUCUUAUUGUUGGUAGGUGGGGAGGGUGGUGGAGAAGCUCUGUUUGCUGAGGGGGAAGCAGGGAGGAGGCUAUGUGUGUUGAGGAGCAUACAGAGACAGGUAGGGGGUAUAUGU